rnacentral:misc_RNA from 1 species
GAACUGCGAUAAGUAAUGUGAAUUGCAGAAUUCAGUGAAUCAUCGAGUCUUUGAACGCACAUUGCGCCCCCUGGCAUUCCGGGGGGCAUGCCUGUCCGAGCGUCAUUGCUGCCCUUCAAGCCCGGCUUGUGUGUUGGGUCGUCGUCCCCUCCGGGGGACGGGCCCGAAAGGCAGCGGCGGCACCGCGUCCGGUCCUCGAGCGUAUGGGGCUUUGUCACCCGCUCGAUAAGGACCGGCCGGGCGCCAGCCGGCGUCUCCAACCUUUUUUUCUCAGGUUGACCUCGGAUCAGGUAGGGAUACGCGCUGAACUUAAGC